rnacentral:rRNA from 1 species
CCUACGGGAGGCAGCAGUGAGGAAUAUUGGACAAUGGGCGCAAGCCUGAUCCAGCCAUGCCGCGUGCAGGAAGAAGCAUCUAUGGUGUGUAAACUGCUUUUGUACAGGAAGAAACACUCCCUCGUGAGGGAGCUUGACGGUACUGUAAGAAUAAGGACCGGCUAACUCCGUGCCAGCAGCCGCGGUAAUACGGAGGGUCCGAGCGUUAUCCGGAAUCAUUGGGGUUUAAAGGGUCCGUAGGCGGUUUAAUAAGUCAGUGGUGAAAUCUGGUCGCUCAACGAUCAAACGGCCAUUGAUACUGUUAGACUUGAAUUAUAAGGAAGUAACUAGAAUAUGUAGUGUAGCGGUGAAAUGCUUAGAUAUUACAUGGAAUACCAAUUGCGAAGGCAGGUUACUACUUAUGGAUUGACGCUGAUGGACGAAAGCGUGGGGAGCGAACAGGAUUAGAUACCCUGGUAGUCCACGCCGUAAACGAUGGAUACUAGCUGUUCGGAGCAAUCUGAGUGCUAGCGAAAGUGAUAAGUAUCCCACCUGGGGAGUACGUUCGCAAGAAUUGAAACUCAAAUGAAUUGAGG